CACGUAGGGGGCGAGCGUUGUCCGGAUUUAUUGGGCGUAAAGAGCUCGUAGGCGGUUUCGUAAGUCGGAUGUGAAAACUCCAGGCUCAACUUGGAGACGCCAUUCGAUACUGCGAUGACUUGAGUCCGGUAGGGGAGUGUGGAAUUCCUGGUGUAGCGGUGAAAUGCGCAGAUAUCAGGAGGAACACCAAUGGCGAAGGCAGCUCACUGGGACGGUAUUGACGCUGAGACGCGAAAGCGUGGGGAGCAAACAGG
rnacentral:rRNA from 1 species